rnacentral:antisense_RNA from 11 species
UGUAUGCAUGUAGCGUACGUUGGCAAAGUGCCGAACGUACGCAAUCCUCUUUACCGAAUCGGACGAUCCCGACCAUUUCAUCUUCUUCGAAACGUUCCAGCGCGUCACUUAAUCCGGAGCGCACGCCGCGAGGCAAAUCGCAUUGCGUGAUAUCACCGUUGACGAUAACCGUCACGUUCUCCCCGAGGCGGGUU